rnacentral:tRNA from 1 species
AGUGAGGUGGCCGAGUGGUUGAAGGCGCACGCCUGGAAAGCGUGUAUACGGUAUCCCCGUAUCGAGGGUUCGAAUCCCUUCCUCACUGCCA